rnacentral:rRNA from 1 species
AUGAUUGUUGCUUCACAAAACACCUUUUCAAUCUCAGAAGACCGGCAUUGCUCAUGUCAGACCUGCACAAAGGUUAUAGAUGUCUCAGAUCAUAUUGAAUUCACUGCCAGUUUAAUUCUCAAAAUUUGGUCUCAACAAAUAGAAAAGGUAAGUAAGUAUAGCAGGCCAACCAGUGUCUCCCGGAACACCUUCAACACUGCAGGACGGCAGAAAAACAACCGAGGCGAAACAGCACACAGGUGUCGCGCACAAAGCCAUGAACACAUAACCCAACAGGCACUCACCAUAGGCAAACUUCUUGACCUACUUGGUGGUGCAGCUGAUGCCUUGAGCUCUAUAAUGGUAGUGCAUAAAUGUAGAGAUACAAAUGUUAGGCAUAAAUUGGUUGGUCUUUCAUCUAUCAACAACUGA